ACUGACAUUUGGAUAUUCAACUUGGUAACAAAAUGCUUGCUGCAAACGAAAUGUCGGACAUAAUGUUAGCUUAGUGUCAGGAUCCCACAUUCUCUCUGCUGAUUCCUCACGUCUGUAUCCACUUUUGUCUUCAUAAAAGCUCAGCAUUUUGGGUCAGCAGCUUAUAAAAGCUUAAGUGCUUUACAUUGUUGGUAGUGAAUAUCACCACACAGCAGCUUUUAGGCAUUUUUCUGUUGUUUGCAGACACAAUUGACGAGGAGGACACCUUUACGCAAUACAAGUCAAUGGAGAGAUGGGUGUGGCUUUCAGAGUAUGACGCAAUGCGUCUCUAUAGGUCAUUUCUUUCUACCCUCUAAUUAGGGCUCCACAAUUAAUCGCAAUUUUGUCGAAAUCGCAAUAUGGACUAGUGCAAUAUCCAAAUCGCAGGGGGGAGCAAUAUUUGCUAAAGGCAAAAUAUUUGUCAAACAAUUCUGAAUGAAGUAUUGUGGUGCUGCAGAGACGUCCCAGCCUACAAGUCGUAUCCUACAGACUAAAGACAUUUUUUUUGUUUGGUACGGAUCCUGAUUCUAAUAACUUCUUUUCAUUUUUUAAUGAAAAUGAGAAUAAUGAUACCGAAAUGAUCGUUCCCUCCAAUAUUGUGAAUCAUAUCCCAAUUGCAAUAUCAGUGAAAAUAAUCACAAUUGUCUCUGGUAAACGCUGCCUUUGUCAAGGUUGAAAGGAGUAACAAAGUUUGCCGUCUGUACAGUCUAUGGUUGGGACAGCACCCUCCGUGUUGUUGUAUUAUGAUCCACAUAAGUAAACAACACAGCGUGAUUGGUUGAUGUCUUCAUUCGCGGUGCAUAAGCUCAGAACAAUCAACCUUGUAUUGAAAAAAAUUACGUUGGGUUAUUGCCGUGUAAUAUUUGCGUUCUAAGUGAAAGUAGUCAUGACUAAAGCAACAGUUCAAAAAUAUAUUGACGUGCAAAUUAUUUACACGUGAAAAACAUCCCCAGUGUGUAAAGGCCUUAAUACUUUUUCACUUUACUUCCAGCUUUGCUCCUGUCAAGACGCCGCUAUUAUAAACGUAAAUGUAAGUCAUAAUUGCUGCUUGAACAAACAACCUAUGUGGGAUUUUUUUGGGGAAGACAGUCUGGAUGUUUCAGUGAUUGUGGCUCGCUCUGCUUCUGGCAGUGUUGUGGUCAAGACUACCUAAACCGAGACCAAGUCAUCACCCCAGACCAAAAGUGUACCUUUGUGGGGUUGAGACCAAGCCAAGACCAAGACCAAGGCAGGGCGAGUCCGAGACAAGACCAAGACUUUUAGGGGUUGAGACCAGUGCGAGUGCGAGUCCCACACUGCAUGACACGAUAAAUGUAGAAAAAUGCUAACCAUAGGCACUCCUCAAACUGGUCUGAAAGAUCCACAUUCCCAUAAAAAAACACUCACAAAAAAUGUAAUUAGUGUAUCAUGAGAAAUGCCUCGGUAAAAGAAUCAAAAGGCACUUGUGGUCUUGACCGAUCUUGCAAUAAAAUCCUGAGUCCUCUUUACCUGAGACCGAAUCGAGACCGAGUAAAAAUGCGAUCGAUUCUGAGACGAGACCCAAACCUUCAAAAAGUGGUGGGGUAGCUUUAUGUAACUUUGUUGUCUCUCCUGGUUAGGGUUAUAAGUCCUAAAGACCAACUGGCAACAAACCCAUAGGUUUACCAAGCAACAGUCAAUCAGCUCUGAUCUGGGUCACUCACUGAGCGUCUAUAGGGUCUGAAAAAGCACCUUAUACAACAAUGGACCCUUUACUGACUCCACAUUCACAUCACGAGACUUAUCGUAAAAAGAAACUGCUGACUGGGAAAAACGUCAGCAUCCAUGUGCUGAAUACAAAAAGGACACAUUGUAUGACUUUGAAAUGGGAGAUGACGUAGGAGGAACUCAUGCUUGGACACAUGGGAUAACGUGAUGUCAGAAAAGUAGUUUUUGUGAGAUGUGUGUUGUUUGUAAAUGGGACCAAACUGUGUCAGGUUAUACAGUGGGAUGGCAGAAUGAAAAUAGUUCAAACUGAUACUAAGGAUUUGUUGAGAUGUAAUUAUUUUCACUUGUCAGAUGUUUGAAAAGUAGUGAAAGGUAAUGUAUUUUUGAUGUUUUUUUGGUAUUAUUAUUUAACAAUUAUAAACCUUCACGUUCAUCAGUAUCUGUUUAAUGUUGUGUACACUUGUGUUGGGUUUUAACCUGAGUUGCAACAGUUUGUAAUGCCUCUCUGUCCUUAGUUACCGUUACGUACUGUGCUUCUCUGCUGCCUAAGUCUUAUAUAAUGUGCUGUAUGUACUGCUAACUGUAUCUACAGUAAAAGCUGACGAGGGGUCCUCACUCUCU